AGUUUGGUUGCCAGAUAAGCCAAACCACCCCUAGAAAUUAGUCUUUAGAGUCUCAUAGGCAAUUGUAACGUUACAGGUUAUAAAGUCACUAUUGCUCGGGCUAUUUAUUCCAAGGUGAACAUGAAGCAGCACAAUAGUGCUGUUGAUAUAUAUUACUUAUUUCGGUGUUUCGGAUCAUUAGAUUGUAGAUAUUACAUAAUUAUGGUGCAUCUUCAUUUACCCUUGAAAUAGUCGGAAUUAUGCACUCAAUUUUUGUUGAAAGUUAUCAGCUGGCAAAGUUAUCAGCUUGAAAGUUAUAAGUUGGCAAUUUCUUAACUAUUUGUGAGGGUGGUUCUAUUUCUGAUCAAAACACCGACAUGAACCUUAAAAUCUUUUAUCCGGAUGAUUUUCAGCUACACUAGUACCUACACUUCACUGAUUGACGUAGAAAUUAUUCAAAGUAGAGCAUAGACCUAAUAUCAAAUGGACAGGCCCUUAGAGAGAAAUUCUGGCAUGCCGCAUAUGAAAGAGAGAGAUGGAGCUAGAUGAGUCAACGUCAAAAUCAUAUGAUCAAAACAUUGAACUCACAUUCAGAAAAUCGCUAAUUUUUCUCUCAUUCUGAAUUGAACACAUAGUUAAUCUGAUUGAUUCGAUUUGUAAAAGUGUUGAACAUUCUAAUAAAAGGAUUUAGCGGUAAGUAUUCCGUGAAAUCUUUAUCGGAUUUCAAUAAGUUCAUGAAACUUAUUGAAAGGCCGAUUUCAUCUUGAAAAUUAAUUGAAAGCUCAUGUUUUUCUAGAAUCCAUCUGCUAUUGCGAAAUUCAAAGCACCAAAAGAACUAAUUUUCAAAUAAAAUGCCUCACACUCGUGCAGCCUUCAAUUGUACAGCGAGAUUAGAAAAAAGCCAAAAGUUGAAAUUUAAUUCUUCACAGUUUUCCAAAGGAUGCGAAUUAAGGGAACAGUAGAUGAAAGCUGAAGAAGAAUUGAUUUCAACCCUUUUUCCUUGUUGAAAAUAUGCAGCAACCGUUUUCAUCAACAUAAUUUAUUAAUAUUCAUGGUACAAAAACUCUGAAAAAGGAUGUUAUUCCUUCAGUUUUCAGUUUCUCCAAUUAUAUGCCUGAGAGAUUAAAUUAUGGAGAUAAAUGUCUUGAAGAUAAUAUUGAAGAAAUUGAACAGGACCAGCCAGAGACAAAACAGCAAGAGAUGGGGCAACCAGAGACGGUACAACUGUUUAUAAUAUCAAAAUCCUCUGCUGCUGCCAUGGGAGAUUUUUCCCCCAGAUUGAAUACUAAUAUUAGAAAUACUAGAAAUUAGAAACCUGGGAAUGAGGAUUUCCAAGAAUGGAACACUAGACGAAGUAAUAUCUGAGAGAAACAUCCAAAGAAAACCAAUAAUCUCAAUGUUAAAUAGGAUAUUAUCGAUUAAAAACAUAAAUGUGAAUAAUAAGAAAAAAUGUACUCAAUAAUUAGGAGCAUAAUAACAUACAGCUCUGAAGUGAACAGCAGCUGGAAAAUCUGAAAGGGACAUGAUACCAAAUGAUACAAUAAGACAUAGAAUGGAAAUAAGACAUGAUAUUAUUGAUCUUAAGAACACAACAGUUGGUUUGGUACAGACAAGUCCAUAAAUACUUAUGAUACUAGGUGUGAUUUAAACGAUAAUAAUUUUUUAGAUUGCCAUACUAAAUGAGGAACAUAUUCUGUGCCGUGGCUUAAAAAUUCAUCUUUAGGGAAGCUCAUUCACUGAAAGGCUGAAAAUGGGAAAAAUGAAUGUAUCAUAACUGAUCCUUGGAGAGAUAAGGAGAAGAAGAUUCAUAAAUUUCAAGAUUUGGAGGAGUUUAGAACUAAGAAGAGGAAGAGGUCAAUCCUGAUAUUUUUCAAUAUCCUGGAUAUUAAAUGAUUGGAAGAGUGAAUAUCCUCCUUAGUGGAGAGUGAGAAAUCCGACUGCGAAUAUGUUCUUCCUCAUGCGCUGAUAGGCUAGAGUCGGACCAUUUUUUAAAUCAUUUAUUGUAAUAAUGUAUUUUGAACAGCAAUGAACACUUAAUGAAUACAAUUCUUCAUAAAC